UUGAAAUACUGACAUGACUGAGCUACAGCUACACAUGUACGGGGCACAAGAGAUUUUUCACUAGGCCUAUGAGCGAAACGUGUUUUGAAAACUGUUUUUCUUGCAGUACAAUGUUAAUGUAGAGCUGCCCAGCCCUUCUCCUGCUUUCCCAACACCAGUGGUUAUCAUGCAGAAAUGGGAAUCUUCACCACCACCAAUGGUAGCUCUGGCUCAUGGUUAAUAUAGAUUGGGGAAUCUUCACUGCCACUACUGGUUCCUGGUUAUUAUGCAGAGAUGGGGAAUCUUCACCACCACCAAUGGUAACUCCGGCUUCUGGUUAUCAUGCAGAGAUGGAGAAUCUUCACCAAUGGUAACUCUGGCUCCUGGUUAUCAUGCAGAGAUGGAGAAUCUUCACCAAUGGUAACUCUGGCUCCUGGUUAUUAUGUAGAGAUGGAGUAUCUUCACCACCACCAAUGGUAGCUCCGGCUCCUGGUUAUCAUGCAGAAAUGGAGAAUCUUUAGAAGUAGAAAGAUGAUGCUAUGCCUAUAGAAGAGGCAGAGAAACUGCAGGUUGGAUGAAUAUGAGUCUAGGACGAGCUGGUAGCUAUCAACAAUCAACCAUUAAUGGGUAUGACCUUGAAAAAACCCAGGCUGUUUUUACAUGAAUCAGUAUAAACAUAAACUGUUAUCCAUGAGAGCAAAGCUGAGAAAUUCAAAGCUUCUUCUGGCAGAAGUCACCCAACAGGAAGCGCCAUACGGAGCUAGAUAUUAAGGAAGAAGUCGAUGUCAUGCUGGAGGGAUUCCCUGACAUUUUCUCCAGUGACAAUUGCUCAGCUACAAAUUCUACACCCUAAACAAAUGACUAAUUUCAAGCCUGGAUUUGACACUAUACCCUACCUUAAAUCUAACAUGUAACUCUAACCCUACAUCUUACACAAAAUAAAGCCUGAAGUAAUUGUCACAGGAGCAAGUGUCUUGUCACCGUUGGACGAUGGACUCAACAAACUCAGGUCAAAAGUCAAGAAAAUGCCCAGAAAUAUGCCACGAGAUUCAGUGCUUGACUUUGCAGCUUAGAGGAGGCUUACAUAGCUGAUGGAACGAAGUAAUACUUAAAUCAUUCACUCUAUGUAUAACGUGGAUGCACCCCCUAUUUGGGAAAGUCUACCAGAGCUAAAGAUGUGACACAACUCUUGACAUCUUCAUCUGCACUGAAUGUCUGGUGUGAUCAUUUGUUGGUACAAUGGACAUGAUGUAUAAUCCACCUGUAAAGAGAGACCACCUUCUCAGAAAGGCCAAAUGUUAUAUCCUUUGAAACAUACAACAAAGGAACCUGUUUUGUAAAUACCUCUUUUUCUUUCUUAUCUCUGAGAGAGAUGACUACCAGGGAUUGCUACUUUGACACCAGACAUUAUACAAUGUCUGUUUUUGGUGCUCCACUUUUGUACCUAAUAUGGAAAUUUCCACCAUGUAAAUCAAUCGAAUGAACCAAAUGCCAGUUGAAAAAACUAUAUAUGCAUUUGCUACUUAUGAACCAGGAGGAGAAUGGUUUUUAUUUUUAGGGGGUAUUUUUGUCCACAAUGGGGGUGAUUGCUGACUUUUAGGGGCUAUUUCUUUCAUAUUAAGGGCUACAUUUUUGUGCAACAAGCACUUAUACUGCAAAAGCAUUUCUCAUCAGUUUGCUGUAUGUAGAAAAUUAAUUUUAAGACAAUAUUAGUGCCCCAAAGUGUUCAAGUUUGAGAAUUUUCCAACACUGUCAUGAACCCAUUAUUAGGUAUUAUGACUUUUGUGUAUCUCGAAGGAGCAGGUCCAAGCUAUUAUCUCUGAACAGUGAUUUUCAGUUUAAAUUUAAAAAAAGUCUUUUUCUCUUUCUUGAAACCUUUUAUUCUGUUUCAAACUUGAUUGAUAAUGAAAUUCUGUUUUUGAAAGAAAACAUACAAAUAAAAAGCAUGAAUUACAUUUUGCAAUAAGUUUUUCUGUAAAAGUAUAGAACUAAAACAGAUUUUUCGUUUUGAUUUACUGGUCAGAAAAUCACUGUCCCUAAUUAUUUUGUUGACUUUCCAAAUUAUCUGAAUUAUCUGUCGUUUCAAUAAUAGAUGCAUACUAUGUAGGUCAUGAUUACUAGGAGAAAAUGAUAUGUGCACAAGGUUACAAAUGAUUUUCAAGUAUCACAAGGUUUAUAAUUAAUAUGGGUUGUAGGUUUUUGUGGAGUUAGCUCGGUUUACAUGAAGCUAAUAAUUGCAUUUAUUUUGUGUUUACUAUACUGCAAAAGUGGAACCUAAGGUUUUCUAGAGUUUUCCUCGAAUGAAUUUUAUCUCUGUUUUUUUAAACCCUGGAUCUACUUAUCGUAGAAUAAUUGUUUGAAGGGGAGUGUACAUGUAAGUCCCGGACCAUGUGGAAAUUGGAUCCUAAGCAAUUUGCAAAAGGCUUGUUUACUUUAUGCACACUGUAAUAAUACUGUACUGGAUUACUGAAAUCAAAAAUUGGAAAGCGCAAAUUCAACCCAACCCAUCCCAGGGUCGUCAUUUAUUUUGAGUUGCUGAAGUUCUCUUCAAUCCUUCGUCCUAGACUCUUAACUGAUCUCUUGAUUGUUAAUCCAAAACAAACUUCAUGUACUAGUAUUACACUUAUAUGUUCAAAGUGAAAAUUUACUUUGCAUCUGGAUGGUUCUGUGCCAAUUAUGUAAUACCCUAAAGGCUUUUCUCAGACUUUAUUUGUAAUUGCUUUUUCAUGGGACCAGCCACCCCAAAACCAACAAUAAGUUACCAGGGAAGCUUCUCUGUAAAUAGCCAAAAUAGUUAAUUUGAUCCUCAAAAUGAAAGAAAUAUCUUCUUCGUCAUACUGCCAAAUUCUAGAUUAGAAAAGUUAAAGAAAUAAGAAUAGAUGCAAUUUCUUUGACAUUAGUUUUUGCAGGCUGCUUUAAAGUUCCACCAUGUUCCACCAUGGUUUAUGACUUGCUUUCCGCUUUAACACAAAGACCCCCCCCCCCCCCAUUUUAAUUUGUGUGCAAUGUAGCCCAAUAGGUUUAUAUACACUUAUUCUCCAUGAAUAUCAUUAAUAUGUUCUGUCCAUUUUCAUAAAUUAUUAUGAUACAAAAAGAGUUUAUUAUAAGUUUUUUCAAAUGCAGGAGUAGCAAAGUUCUAAGCUAAUUCAGUCUAUUUUUUCUUUUAAUUUCACAAAAUAUUUUUUGCAUCAACUGCAUAGAUAAUGAAAUUUGAUAUUUCAAAGGAUUCAGUUACAAGUAUGUCGCUAACACAAAUAAAAAUACACUUCAUUGCAGGAUAACAUAUGUUAUGGAAAGAAUAUCUUCGGACAAAAUAUCAGAUCAAAAGUUAUUGAAAGAAGUAAACUAAAUUGGUGCCAAAGAUGUGCGAGAUGAAAAAGGUCAUAGGUCAAAGAUCACAGAGGUCAUUUUGUACCCCAAAAUAUCCCUUUUUCAUGAAAAAAUAAAUAACCUUGUGAAGAUUAAACUUCAAACUUACCUCUUGCAUAUGGGUGUGACAAAGAUCAUGAAUCCAUCUAAUUUAUAUCAAAUUUUCAUUUAUUUUAGUGCUAGUUAUGUGUUUAUAUUUUUGUUUCAUUAUAUCCAGAGUACAUAGUCAUGGUGUUAGAUUUUUGAAAAGUUUAUGAAUCUAUCAAAUAAUUCUUGGAACUGUUUCAUGAAUAUAUAAAUCUGACUGAAAGUCCUGCCUAAUUGUUAAAUGUGCACAUGAUAUUUCAUGUGCAGUCUAAUUGAUUCAUAUGAUAUGCAGUAGAGUGCAUCUUCUGAGGGUCAUCCAAUCAAUAUCAUGAUCUGUUACUUUCCACAAUGCAAGUGGAAAUUAAGAGUCAUUUGUGGUCGCUCUCAAAUCUUUGUGAAACACUCCUUUGAUUUGUCUCUCAUGUCACAUAUAAUGCCAGAUAGCUUGGACCUGCCCAAUAAUAUUUGCUUGUCUGUACUAUAUACUUGCUUUGUAUUCAUGAUUUUAUAAAUUAUGUAAGACCAGCAGCCUGGAAGAUUUAUUCAAGUUGCAGGACCAUUGCAGUUGACUCUGAUUGAUGGUGGUAAGCCCUAAACCUUACAAGCAUGGCUUCCUGUCUGGUUUGAGCUGGGAUCUUCCUGCCAGAAUCACACAAUUAGUGAUGUCCCUACCGAGAGAUCUAUUUUUCAGUAUGCAGAGAAGGGCACUGGACACUGUUGUGCAUGGUACACAACUAACCACAAUGUAAGUGCAUUAAUAAUGAUUUCAAUGAUAUUUUGUGUAGCCAGUAGCCUAGAGUAUGCAAGACAAUGCAAUCGGUUUUCCAGUAAUUAUUUACUGAGGGCAAAAACUUUUGUGAAAAUAUUGGGUGGCAAUUUUCCCCAUAUCAGGAUUUUCUCUCUCUUUCCAUUUAAUGACUGUAAUUCCUUCUCUUGACCUCUACUGUUAUUUCUUCCCAUUCCUGUAUCCUUUUUGUUGGGUAUAGUCUUUCUUUAUAUACCUCCCAGUACUAUCUGUCCUAGCUGUUCUAACUAUAUCUUUGUUUCACAUUGUUGCAACAUGAUAUUUGCCAUGACUGAUUUAAUAAUUUGAUAAAAGGAUAAACAAUUUUUAUAAGAAACAGACUUUGAUCACGUUAUUCUUUUUUUAUUUCAGAGCAAUGAUAGAGCAAUGUGAAUUAUGUUGCAAAAUAUUUAUUCUCCUUUUCUGUACGUGUUAUUUUGGGGGUCAGACUAAUUUAAAUUAAUAUUUUCGAACUUUAUCGCGGUCAUUUCACCAUUUACCUUCAUGAACUCAUGUUUGUGCUAAAGCCUAUGGCACCACCAGAGACAUAAGCUUUGUGUGAGUGCCGAGUGUGUAUCCAUCAUGAAAUCACAGAAUGAGAAGAGAUAAUGUGGACUGCACGAAUGUUAAGAUAUGUGAUGAUAAGGUAGAUUCUCAAUAUAGGUUUGUUUACCCAAAUCUUCAACUUCAGAUAUGAAUUUUUAACCCAUUUUUAUGAGAAUUAUGCACCUGAAUGGUUUUUCCACGGUGUGUAAAAAACAAAUCUCCUUCAAUCAAAGCAAUAUAUGUAUUAAGUCUGGAAUCUUGUUUUAGAAGUGCAAUGUCAAAUUUUGAUUUCUAGAGCCUUGCCAGUAUAGUGUUUCAGGUUGACCCGUCUUGGUAUUUGAAAUAUUGAUUGAGCAGUUUAGCCAAUAUGGCUUUGGAGCUUGGUGACAUUGGUCAAGAUCGAUCAAAAACUGGUUUGCACUCCAAAUUGAUGCAGGUAACCACUUGUUCUGCACAAAGAGAAGAGAGAGGAACUGGCAAUGUAUGUUUGAAGAGAGGGAUACUGACUUCCAGAAAUUUGUUUAAGUUGCAUGUGACAUCUUUAUAUUUGGUAUUUGGUUGAAUCUGGUAAUGUUGCGAUAAUCUUCAAUCACUGGUUGACCACAAGGAAUGGUGCUCCUUUCAGCUUAUGCAUAUGAUAUCCAGAGCUCUUCAAAACCUCAUACUACAAGUCGCAUACUUCUUGGAUUCUUUGUGGUGGCAUUAGAGGAAUUCUCAGUGGAUCUAGUUCUAGGUGGGCAUUUGUGUCUUUUCCAGCAAUUUGUUGAUAUUUUCCUGUGUUCAUGAGAUUUUCCCAGAUUUAUUUGUUUCUGAUAAAAUGAAAGGCAAUGUGAAGUCUUGGUAUUAUAAAGUCAGAAUCAAUAAAAACCAUUUUUGCUCCUCAUGCAUGCUGAUAUUAUCACCAAAAGGGAAGCUUCAUACAUCUGAUACAUUUUUUGGCUUAGUCUGUAACUCUAUUAUUAUAAAACACAAUGCACUUGUUUGAAUUCUAAUAAGGCAGAUUCUUAAAAUGUUUGUCAACAUUAAUUUUCUGUGUCCAGGAGGAAGCAUUCUUUCGUUGAAAAGAAUUCUGAAUAGAAUUCAUGUGUAAAGGAAACUUCAUCACGUUCAGGUAUUCAGAAAUGUAAUCCCUUACAUAGAGGGGAAGAUACUCUGUUAACCCUCUAUAGCCAGGACUAUUUUGAAAUUGCAUAGCCAGGGGGGGUAAGGUUUUUUAGCCCCCCCACCCCCUUUCCAAGAUCUUGGUCGUUGAUUAGGGCCGUUAUUCAAUUUUAAAUUUAGGCCAGCAUUUUAAGUACUAGUAUUUUACUCAGUAUUUUGCCUAAAAAAAACACAUCCAUCAAUGGUAUUCAAUUGUAUUAGGCUUUAAUGUAAGUCAGACAUAUACCAGACUUAAGUCUGGCUUGCGUAUAGUUUACAAAAACAUGAUAUGCGCAGUCAUACAUUCUGUGCUCAGAUGAAAACAUACAUUGCGCUAUAUUUGGCUCAAACUUUAUCAGGAUGUAAAAAUGAUUGUUGGUAUUUUGCUUGAAUUUGGCUGUAUGAAGUAAAAUACUUGGAUGUGAUCUAAAUAUGAGUUUUAACCCCCCCCCCCCUCCCCCAUGGCUAGAUAGGGUUAAGUUAUGCAUGUACCUGCUUAUCAUUGCCAGUUAUUUUAGGAGAAGGGCGUCCACUCAAUGAUUCUAAAUUUCAAUAUCCUUUGAUCUUGUUCCAUCUAAAACUCUUUCAUGGGAACUUGUGAGUCUUUCUUUUUCUUUGCAAUGAUCAUACAAUGCAUAAUUUGCUGACCAUUGUAGAAUUAUUUCCUUCUUCUUGCUCAUAGUUCCUCUGAUCAUGUCAGAGAAGUUUCUCAGCCAGGUCCUGAAGGUGGACAUGAAGUGAUGCUAGGCUGUUCAUUCAUCCAUCUUCUGGUCUGUGGAUAGGGCAAUAAUUGGUAGAUUUUUCAAACAGUGUCCCUUUGGCUAAAGUAAUGAUUUCCUUUAUCUAGUGUGGAACAAGUUUGGGAAAUUUUGUUGGGUGCUGUCUGUUAGAUUUGACAUUGCUUGUUUUGGUAGACUGUUCCAACUCUCUGUGACCCUUUGGAUAAAGAAGUGGUUUCCUCCUUCCAGUCUGGAACAACUUUGGGCAAUUGUAUUGGGUGCUGUCUGUGAGAGUUGUCAUUGGUUCUUGACCAUUUGGCUGAAUAUAUCCAUGGAAAGAUUUUUUUUAAAUAAUUUAUUGGAUGUCUUCUCUGAAAUUUGACAUUUUGCUUCACUACUAGGUUCAAGCAUUGUAUUGUAAAGAUUGAUUGGGGAUUAUAAAUCAUUGUGGGAUACGAAGUGUACUCCCUCAGAACAAGCCUAUGUUGAGGUCCUAACCCAUUAGAUCUAUCUUUCAUUGUCGGUGCCUCGCCUGAUCUCUCAGGGUUCAUGGUUGCAUGAUGGAUACAGUAUGCAAGCAAACAUGUGGUUCUUGUAUGAUGGUAAAUGAAUUAAUUAGCUUGACAGGGGAAAAAAUAGUCAAGUAUUUUUCUGAUUGGUUUCUAUUUUGAUCAAAAUGCAAUGUCCAUUGAAAUUCAUAGAAACGCUAUUGCAUCAUGUACAGAAAAGGGUAUAUUUAUUUGCAAUAUAUUUCUAAUAUAUUUCAUUUGCUCUUUUGAAAAGGCCCCC